AUCACUCCUACGGGGAGGCAGCAGUGGGGAAUAUUGCACAAUGGGCGCAAGCCUGAUGCAGCCAUGCCGCGUGUAUGAAGAAGGCCUUCGGGUUGUAAAGUACUUUCAGCAGUGAGGAAGGUGGGUAUGUUAAUAGCAUAUUCAUUUGACGUAUGAGUGCAGAAGAAGCACCGGCUAACUCCGUGCCAGCAGCCGCGGUAAUACGGAGGGUGCGAGCGUUAAUCGGAAUUACUGGGCGUAAAGCGCAUGCAGGUGGUUUGUUAAGUCAGAUGUGAAAGCCCGGGGCUUAACCUCGGAAUUGCAUUUGAAACUGGCAGGCUAGAGUCUUGUAGAGGGGGGUAGAAUUUCAGGUGUAGCGGUGAAAUGCGUAGAGAUCUGAAGGAAUACCAGUGGCGAAGGCGGCCCCUGGACAAAGACUGACGCUCAGAUGCGAAAGCGUGGGGAGCAAACAGGAUUAGAUACCCUGGUAG
rnacentral:rRNA from 1 species